rnacentral:lncRNA from 1 species
AGAAAGAGGAGGAGGAGAAAGAGGAGGAGGAGGAGGAGGAAGCCUCUCCCCGGCGCGGCCGCCUGUCAGCGAGCUGAGAGCAGGGGAUUUCUGCGCCCCUGGGAGAGGGACCGCUCUGCCGGGAAACUCCCGGAAGCCCACCCCCGGGCCGGCACAGCACGCACCGCGGCUUCCUUAGGUGCCCUCAGCGAGCAGAAAGGAUUGUGCUAGAGAGCAAGCAACCCCGGGGGUUGAGCAAGAAAACUGCUUCAAAUACUGUUUGGAGGCAGCACUCAGACCUUAUUAUUUUCAACCAAGGAUUCCAAAGCUGCAACAUGGAAAACGACUCAAGACAAGUACUGCUCCUGCAAGACUUGGAGAUGCCAAAGUUUCAGUUACAUCAAUUACACCAUGUCCUCUUGGAGUGCUCCUCAACAGUCAGUCUCACAGUACUACGUAAAGCAGGUCACUAUCAUUUUGCCUGGCUUACAGAUAAGAGACAGCAGCACAGAAAGAAGUGGUGCAGAGAACUUCUCAGCUGCAGGAACAAGACACAGGACUUCUGAGUCCCACCCAAUGCGCUAGCUGCUAAGCCUCACCUGAUUCUCCCGCUAUCGACCAUGGGUAAUGCGUGGGCUUGGGGCUUCUCAUGAUUUGUUCCACAGCUUGCCACACACAUACAAACACCUACACACACACGGGGUAUGUAUUCGACUGUAAAACCAUGUAAAUUACAUAAUCUUCCCUUGGAAAAAAACUUAAUUCAGAUAAUAUUUUUCAGCAUGGCAAUCACUGAAUGCAGCUGCUAGAAAUCUAGCCAAAAGCUGCUCCCUCUACACAUUUUUCCUAAAAUAGCCUACAUAGGGGAAAAAUAAGCACAUUCUCUUUUUCCAGGAAGGAAUGGAAGCUGGAGCUGUUGAGAACACAAUUGUUGCUCAUAAAGCAUCUAAAGUAACAGCCCUGCAAUCACUAACAAAAACAAAUCUGAGGUUUGACAAUACCAUUAACACUGCAUAGCUGUAGACAGGCAAUCAUUUAAAGAACUGCUCCUUGGGUGGUGGCUAACAACGGGGUGGGGGUGAGGGACAUCUGAAAGGGCAAAGACAAAACUUACACAUGAAAUAGGCUCCAAAUUAGUUCACUUCAACCAUUAAAGACUGCUGUGUCUAACACAAAGGAAAAUGGUAUUUAUCCUGGUUGCUGUGCCGAAAUGUCAAUGAAUCAUCUCUGAAGAUGUUAAUUCAAACUCCCACUUUUCAUGUAAAGUAGUAAAAAUCAGGGUCAGUGAAAACAUAUCUGGAGUGGUCAGCAAAGCCCUUCAGUGAGGUGGC